CUUGAUUGUCUAUAAAAUGGUUUUUAGAAAAACAAAAGCCAAAAACUACUUCAAAAACUGGAAACAAUCGACCUCUAAAUAGUAUCUCACUUAUAUCUCAAAUUUUGAAAUGUCUAUGAUUGAAUGGAAGUAGUUAAUGAUUUUCUCAAUGUCAACCUCAAUCUUCUAUAAACUAAACUAGCAACAAAUCUCUAAAUCUAAUACGAAAAUAUAAACCCUAACCUAAAUUUCAAAAUGUAAAAUUUGUAAAUACUAUUAUGAAUUCGGAAGCUACAUUAUGUGAUAUUAAACUGGACAAUGUACAACAAAAAUGUCAAUAAGAUGCAUUUCCAUUAUACACAAGACAUAUAUAAUAGAAACGGGAAAUGUAGUUGCAAUCUAAAGAACAUUUACCAUAUUUCUCAAAUUUUGAUUUGUCUAUGACCUUAUGGAAGUGGGUAAUGCUUUUUCUAGUGUCCAC
rnacentral:lncRNA from 1 species